rnacentral:rRNA from 1 species
AUACGGAGGGUGCGAGCGUUAAUCGGAAUUACUGGGCGUAAAGCGUGCGUAGGCGGUUGAUUUAGUCAGAUGUGAAAGCCCCGGGCUCAACCUGGGAACUGCAUUUGAAACUGGUCAACUGGAGUAUGGUAGAGGGGGGUAGAAUUUCUGGUGUAGCGGUGAAAUGCGUAGAUAUCAGAAGGAAUACCGAUGGCGAAGGCAGCCCCCUGGACCAAUACUGACGCUGAGGUACGAAAGCGGGGGGAGCAAACAGGAUUAGAAACCCCGGUAGUCC